UACGUAGGGUGCGAGCGUUGUCCGGAAUUAUUGGGCGUAAAGAGCCUCGUAGGCGCUGUCGCGUCGGAUGUGAAAGCCCGGGGCUUAACUCCGGGUCUGCAUUCGAUACGGGCAGGCUAGAGUUCGGUAGGGGGAGAUCGGAAUUCCUGGUGUAGCGGUGAAAUGCGCAGAUAUCAGGAGGAACACCGGUGGCGAAGGCGGAUCUCUGGGCCGAUACUGACGCUGAGGAGCGAAAGCGUGGGGAGCGAACAGG
rnacentral:rRNA from 1 species